CCGGUGAACCUCAGUAUACAAGUUGAGUGCUUAGCUAUACAGUCGUCAACGUUGCGCACCGUCGUGCGAGACAAUACUGCUGUUGUACACACGGCCACUUAGAGCACAUCUAUUCCGUAGACUAGAUUCGAGGAGAUGGUCGUUGCAGAGGAUAAAGGGAUUGGCUGAUUUUCGACAUGACAAGAAUAACGUUUUUCGCACAUUUUGGUCCGUAUACAACUCACAAUAUGAGUGAAGUACCAAUGGCGAUGAAUGAUAUAUAAUAACAUAUUUACUAUUUGUGGCAAUACGCGGAAAAGGAUGUUAUGUACGAAUUAUCAAUGACGACUUAAUUUCUGCACCCACUUACGUCAACCCGGUUGCUUAUAACAAAUGAAAAUGAUUCACAAUCGUUAAUUUCGACCUGAUAAGUGACGAUUGUGGCUACACAGGAAACAGUGCCUAUUUAGUAAAUGACAAAUGGUCAUUACCAUUAAGUUGUCGUGUAGGGUUUCGUGGCCUACUGGUAUAGUAAACAUCCUUUAUAAUUACCAUUGUCAUUAAAACUCUAUCGCACCAUCUUUACACCACCGAACCAAAAUAAAUGCUGAUGAUAGCAAACGGAAUGUACCAGCAGAUAUUGUGGAAACUUUGUUGCCUAAAAAAAAAAUUAUAUUCGUACACGUGGAUUUUGUGGAGAUAUCAUGGCCGAAAUGCUCAUGUGUCAUUUAUACUGCAAUAGACCGCCAUAUCUUGUGGAGCCCUUGUCGCCACUUGCCAGGUCGACGUUAAUAGUUGGGGUUCAUAUGUUGCAAACGACCAGGUCGACGUAGGCGGUUGCAGAAUGUCGUCAUCGUUGGUUCGUAAAUAAUAUUAAUUUCCACGUACUUGUGUUAUUGUCGUAUAAUAUUGUAAAUAUUUGUAUUUCUUAAAAUAGUUUCACCGUUAUUAUUGUCAAUUUAAUAUAAUUAUAUUAAGUGGUCCUUUAAUUUUAUAAAAUCAAAAUUUUGAUGAAUUUAGUUUAUACUUAA